UGGUCCGUAGCUCAACAGCAGAGCACCAGGCUCAUAACCUGAAGGGUGCUGGUGCAAUUCCAGCCGGACCGACCA
rnacentral:tRNA from 2 species